rnacentral:misc_RNA from 1 species
CCAAUAGCGUAUAUUAAAGUUGUUGUAGUUAAAAAGCUCGUAGUUGAAUUUCGGGAUUGGCGCAUCGGUCGUGCCUUACGGGGUAUGAACUGGUGCAGUCAAUUUCUCACCUUCUGGAGAACCGCGAUGUCCUUAAUUGGGUGCCGCGGGGAACCAGGACCUUUACUUUGAAAAAAUUAGAGUGUUUAAAGCAGGCAUUUUUGCUUGAAUACAUUAGCAUGGAAUAAUAAAAUAGGACGGCAUGGUUCUAUUUUGUUGGUUUCUAGGACCACCGUAAUGAUUAAUAGGGAUAGUUGGGGGCAUUAGUAUUCAAUUGUCAGAGGUGAAAUUCUUGGAUUUAUUGAAGACUAACUACUGCGAAAGCAUUUGCCAAGGAUGUUUUCAUUAAUCAAGAACGAAAGUUAGGGGAUCGAAGACGAUCAGAUACCGUCGUAGUCUUAACCAUAAACUAUGCCGACUAGGAAUCAGACGAUGUUAAUUUUUUAAUGACUCGUUUGGCACCUUACG